AACAUGCUUUCACAUUUUUUUCUAUUAACAGCUAAUGACAAUAAAACUUGCAACGUUUAGAGAAUGGAUGCAGAAUCGCGAGAGUCUGUAUCUCCGUAAUGAUGCAUGUUACCUGUAUGCUGAGGAUGUUGCAGAUAUAUAAUAUUGAUAUCGUAUGAUUUCUCUGAUUACAGCGACAGCGGCAUGGCCGCGGCAGGAGCAACCCUGUCCGAUAGCAGGAGAUUUUUGCAUGAACGGUGGUACCUGCCUAUUUUUCGAGACCGUCGGUGAACCGGCAUGCCGAUGCGCGGAGGGUUUCACGGGUCUACGGUGCGAGACGAAGGACGUCAUCAGCACCGGAAAUAUGGAUAAGUUUUCUUCGUUCGCCGAGGACGUGACGCUCGCCCGCUUCUAGCGCAUCUAGCGGCACUGUCAAGCUUGCACAUCGGGACAUUCAUCGUGUUUUGUUUUGUUGUAGCCUCACCCACUCAUCCCCUAUCCCCGUACAGGUUCCUGCAUCCGCGACUUCGCCCUCUCCGCCGCCCCUUCGGGCACUUCUCCUUCCACUGUGUCAUCGCUAUCCGCGGAUCUGUCGCGUAGCCAUCUCGAGCACUCGUCGCUGCUCGCCCUUCGUCAUUUUUCCCCGAUUUCGCUCCCUCGAAUCAUCCUCCUUUCAUUCGUCAUCCCUCUCGUCCUCUCUUUCCUUACAUUUCGCCCAUUGUCCACCGUCAUUCCCGCGACAUCGACUCGCUCCGAGACGACGACGCUGGCCAUCGUCAAGAACCACCAUCGUUUCUCAAAGAAGAGCCUCGGGGGACGAAGCGAGCCGCCGACCAACGUCAUCCUCGCGCAUACCGCAUCCUGGACCAUCGUGAGUCGAAGUUUCGCGAGCUAGCCUAAACGAAAGUUAUCGCGCUGAGCGUCCUUUUCCGCGGGAUAAAGGUCCGGAAAAGCGGCAAGAAGAAAAGUUUCAAUCCUACACCCGGAACUGUCUUCAUCCUGGAUCGCGACAAAGACUGUCACAUCAUAGCAGCACUCGCACAUUGCUCGGAGGAAAUCCCGGCCUCCUCCAAACGGGAUUAGAAAACUUCCAACGACGCACCUCGCCACUUCGUCCGCAAGAGAAUUUCAACCCUCCGUUCGACGAGAAGGAAUCACGAGACGCGAAAACGACGCGAAUAAAUGUGGAAGAAAGUAUUACUAACAACUCGCUCUGCCAUUUAUUAUAAUCUAUUGUUUUUUGGUUGAAAUUUUUUCGCAGGGAUAUUAUUAUCUCGUUACAAAUCGUAAGUACAAACUUGUUGAUCGUAAUAUCGUUAUAUUAAAAAAAUGAGCGCUAUAAUCAUUGAGGAUAUAUCCGUGUAUGUAUUUUCUGCUAAAUUAGCUUUCUUGAUUCCUCGGUUAUACUGGUAAAAUUAUUCUAAACUAUUUUAACAAUAUCUGAUUAAUACGACAACAAAAUAUUUUUUGUGGAAUAUUUCCUGGUUAAUAGAUAAUAUUUUUACUCGCGAUUUUUAAAAGAAUUUUUGGACUGCUUUUUCAAUCAGGACAAUACUUUUAAAAAAUACACACAACAAUUUCUAAUCCUCGUUAUUUUCUUCCACAAAAAUGACAUUCGAAGCUCGAUAAAUAAAUCAUCUUACGUUGUAGAGCCGAUUGACUUUAGUCAAUGCCGAAAUAUCGCGAUUGCAAAAGCGCUUGUGAUUUCUGCUAGGAUGGAAGGAAAAAUGUAUCACAAAAUGGAUCUCGAAUCAUUCCGUUUCCAGUGAGGUUUGUACGGGGAAAACGAGGGAAUAAGAGAGGAAGAAAGCCGUCGUAAAACUAUACCAUAGGGCACGUGCAGAUCGACGUACUACCGCGGGCAUGUCGUGAUAUCAUUUUACGGGAUUGCGCAGGAAGAGGGAACCCGCGAGGAUGAUCCUGAGUACUGUAAUAGGAUUUCCAGGAUCAGAGUUUUACGCAGGAGGGACCGCGGUAUCUUCCGGGCACCAAGUAACGGGUAACGCGGGACGUACAACUUCUACAAACAGGACGCGGCGCUUUAAUUAGCGGAGUGUCCUACAAUUACAUAAGCUGCUACAGCAAAAUUUUAACUAGGCAACUCUCUCUGGGAUACUUUAGUCAAUAAUGCAAAACGAGAUAACUAAUCUCAUACUGUUAAUUACACGCAUACGCAACAUUCUCGUAAAGUGUUAUUCAAAGAAAUUCUCAAUUAAGCUAUUUGAAACUAUCCCAUAUACAUUUCUGUUUUUCCUACUACCUUUACGUUUGUAAUUUUUAUUUAAAAAUGAAAUAUAUUUUUUACCUUUUUUUUAUUUAUGUCAAAUUUUCUUUUAAAUUCUUAUUAAUGUUAAGUUAUUUUGAGUUGUUGUUCAUAUACUUUACUUAAAUUACGCUUAUAUAUUAUUCCUUUAAUUUAUUAUUCGUAUUAUAUAUAUUUUGCGUUCCAUAAAUAAUAUAUUCUAAAUUCAUGUUGCGUGUAAAAAGACUAAAAAUUUGGAUUUUUUGUUAUAUUUGCGAGUAUCAUAUUUCUUAUUUAUUUCUAACACAUAUUUUCUUUAAAUUAUUUUCCUCAGAAUUAAAUUAUUUUAUUUAACUUUAAUUACGAACGUAAGUCAAAUCUCAAGAAUAGACAGUACAAUCAUAAAAAUCGAUACUAAAAUUAUUCGUGAAGAUACUAGAACGGUUAAAAAACGAAAAUUUCGUUAUACAGCCCGGAAGAUAUGUCGCAACCGUUUUGUAUGCUAAGAGAGGAUUCAGUUAGUCAGCCGCGAAAAGGCGCUCCGCGAUUUCCGAAGAAAAUUCCGGCCUCAAUGAUGCGUUCAGGACGCUCUUAUUGUACAAAGUAACCCCUCGUACCCCCUUUUUAGGCGCCUGCGCCGCAGUGCGUUGGCUCUCGAACGAUCGAAAUACCGAACUUUUCCCGCUCAUGAAGCGAGAAACGCGAAGAGCGAGUAGGAGAUGACACGGUAAAAUUAUACGACGAUGAUGUCGUUUGCACUACGUAUUUUUCAAUACAACAAAAACGAAUUCACUUUAAUUAAGGGAAAUUCAUAAUAAACCUCGGCAUAAAAAUAGCUUUCUGCUACCAGA